AGGAGGUCGGGCAGGGGAAAGCCUCUCAGAAGCUGAGGGCCAGGUGGUGGGGGACAGACAGGAGCGAGGCUUCAGCACCCAGGAGCACAGCUCUCCCUGCAUGACAGGCCAGGUCCCCACCCAGGGGCUGGGAGGCCAGCCAUGAAUGACCUAGCACCAUCCUUGCUCCCGGCGGGCUGGGCUGGGGCUGCCCGGGCAGUAGGACAUUAUUGCUAUUUCACAGAAGAGUUUCCGUUCGUCGGGGGCAGUGCCGGGAGCUGCCCGGGGGGGCACCACAACUGUCCGCAGGAUGGGCUCAUCAGUUCACCACAGCCGGUUUGAGCAGCACUGAGCCUGGCGGGAUGACCACCCAGCCAGGGGCCAACGCCUCUGGGCUGCUGGCAGCUGAGUUGACGCCCGUGGACAGGUCCAGCACGGUGCCUGGCAGCAGGGGGAGUCCAUCGGGGCUUGGCCGGGAGCAGCUGCUCUCCGUCCUUUCAAGGGGCGUCUUGUGGCCCUCCAUGCCCAGGGCCCUGGUGGGCACCGACCCACGCCCCUUCUCCCCCUCGGCCUUGCCACCAGCGGCGCCAGCAAGGAGGGAGACCACAGGCAAGCCCAGUCCGCCAGCCCCAAAGGGCGAGGGCAGCAGCGGGUUCUUGGCCAGAUUGAGAGGCAGGACGGGGCCUGGCAGCCCAGGGCCCAUGCCCCCCCCACCCCCACUGCCCCCACCAUUGCCACAGGCCAGGGCACUGAGGUCAAGGGGGCCGGGGGCCAGGGGUAGGGGUAAGCCGGGCAGGCCAGGGCCUCCAAAGAGGGCAGCUGGGUUGGGGAUGAUGAUCUGGGCCCCACUGACAUAGGGGCCGCCGUCGGGGGCGGGCAGUGGCGGCUUGGGGGGUGGGCGCAGCUGCAGGAGCUCUUGCUGCUCGUGGGACACGAAGUGGCCAUGGGCCUUGAUGUGCUUGCGCAGUGAGCUGGGGUCCGUGUAGCGCUUGUGGCAGCCGGGCAUCUUGCAGUAGUAGGGCUUGUCCACGUAGUGGGUGCGCGUGUGCUUAAAGCGGUCACUGGAGUUGGAAUAGCGCUUGUUGCAGCCCUCAUAGGGGCAGACGUAGGGCUUCUCACCUGCAGGGUGGUGCAGUGCAGUGCCGCCGUGAGGGGUCUCUCCCCUUCCUGGGUCUCACCCCAUGCACUCAACAUUUCCCCAGGCCAAGCACUCCCUGGGAACACAGAUGCCCCAAUUCUGGGGGCAGGGGGCAUCCCCAGCACAUGGCAUGAGAUCUGCCCCCAGGCAGGGCACAGAGGCUGAAAACUCAGCCUGGUUGACUCCAGCUCUGCCUGGCCUCGCCCUGCACCCUCUGCUACAGAGGGUGUGCCUUUCAGCAGCAGAACAUGGCCUUGGAGGCCGGGCCCGGUGGCUCACGCCUGUAAUUUCAGCACUUUGGGAGGCCAAGGCAGGCAGAUCACUUGAGGCCAGGAGUUCCAGACCAGCAGGGCCAACAUGGUGAGACCCCGUCUCUACUAAAACUACGAAAACUAGCUGGGUGUGGUGGCAGGUGCCUGUAAUCCCAGCUACCUCGGAGGCUGAGGCAGGAGAAUUACUUGAACCUGGGAGGCAGAGGUUGCAGUGAGCCAAGAUCAUGCCACUGCACUCCAGCCUGGGUGACAGAGUGAGUCUGUCUCAAGAAAAAAAAAGACACCAUGGCCUUGGAGAUCACAUCCUGGCACGAGGCGCCCAGCGUGGGCCUGGCCACAGGGAGUGCUGCCUGGGCACUACUGCCCUCACUCAACAAAUGGCUGAAGGUUCACCAGGCAUCUUCUGCUGCCCUGGCCAGAGCAGGGGGCCACAUGUAGUGACUGACCUCCUGAUACAUGGCUCUCCACCUGGAGUUGUGCUGCCAGGGUGAAAUAAACGCCAGGAAAAAACAUACACAUCAGCUCCUUGAGGCUUUGUCAUGAAAUGAAGAACUUCAAUAUCUCA
rnacentral:sRNA from 1 species